AUUAGUCAAAUAAUCAUAUAAGUAAGUAUACCCAUAUAACAGUACAGCAGAGUAUGAUAAAACAUAACACAUAUUAAGCAUUUAUAAUGAUGAAAUUAAUUACGUGCCUUCUAGGUCAGAAAUAAAACUUCCCUAAAUUGUUAAGUUCCUUUACAUUAUAAACAGAUAGCAGUUGUAUGAAAUUAAAAUUCGAAGGAUUUCUUAAACUUAAAGGGCAAUCGAUAUUUAAUUGACUACCAAAGCAGUUGAAUGUGCGCCAAUCAAAUUUUUGAUUUCAUUUUAAUUGAAAACUUUGAGAAAUAAGUUGUGAAUAAUUACCGGUAUAUCUAUUUUUUUUUUAAUUGGGA
rnacentral:lncRNA from 1 species